rnacentral:rRNA from 1 species
GUCCACGCCGUAAACGAUGAGUGCUAGGUGUUGGGAGACUCAGUGCCGCAGUUAACACAUUAAGCACUCCGCCUGGGGAGUACGACCGCAAGGUUGAAACUCAAAGGAAUUGACGGGACCCGCACAAGCAGCGGAGCAUGUGGUUUAAUUCGAAGCAACGCGAAGAACCUUAUCAGGUCUUGACAUCCUCUGACCACCUAAGAGAUUAGGUCUUCCCUUCGGGGACAGAGAAACAGGUGGUGCAUGGUUGUCGU